ensembl:sense_intronic Gm16132 predicted gene 16132
GGAAGACCUUUAGAGCCUCAGGUUAGGCUCACUGUGUGUGGUCCUGGAGUGUCCUGCCUGAGAUCCUGGGAAAGUUAGCUCUCACAGAUACUCUGAGAACAUUUCUCCAGCUGCCAGGGUCUAGUUAGCUUGACUGUGUGCUCCUGAAGAUCCAGGCCUCUGUACAGUUAGAGCCCACUUAUAGGAAAGAGCCUGGCCAUAGGAAGGCACGGGUAGGGAAGAGGUAGGAUUCUCUUGAAAUUGAAGUGCUGAAUAUUUUAUGUGAAUUUAAACUCCUCUUCUUGAAAUUACUUAAAUGUUUUCCUCGCCAGGGUCUGUAAAAAACACAUUAGCUUGUGCUAACUCUAUUUUGUAAUCAACAGUGGUGCCGCCCUGUCUCGGGUGUGACAAUAAGAACAACACAGGUCUCAGGCCCACAGAGAGGGGGUAUUGCUGUAUAGAAGAUUCUAGCAGGGGCUUCCUGCUAGGGAAAAGGCUCCAUAAAAAUCUUGUCACUGUUAGGACUCACUGUUAGGGAUGCCACAAGGCAGUCUUAAAACCAAGGCAGGAUGGGGCUCAGCUCUUGGGAAGAAUACAUAAAAUGAUCAGGAGCUCUUAG